AGUGCUCCUCCCACACCUACUCGCCUCACAGGUGCCAACAGUGACAUGGAAGAAGAGGAGAGGGGAGACCUCAUUCAGUUCUACAACAACAUCUACAUCAAACAGAUUAAGACAUUUGCCAUGAAGUACUCACAGGCAAAUGUAAAUGGAUGCUCCUCCACUCUCUCCCUAUCCAUUUGUAAGAACAGGCUCCCCUCGCCGAAUACAGUUGUCUCAAAAUCAUCCUGUCUACAUUUCCCCACAUAAAAAUGAAACAAUGCUUUCUCCUCGAGAAAAGAUUUUCUAUUACUUCAGCAACAGUCCUUCAAAGAGACUGAGAGAAAUUAAUAGUAUGAUACGCACAGGAGAAACUCCUACUAAAAAGAGAGGAAUUCUUUUGGAAGAUGGAAGUGAAUCACCUGCAAAAAGAAUUUGCCCAGAAAAUCAUUCUGCCUUAUUACGCCGUCUCCAAGAUGUAGCUAAUGACCGUGGUUCCCACUGAGGUUAGUCUCUUGUAUUAAACUCUUCACAAAAUCUGUUUAGCAGCAGCCUUUAAUGCAUCUAGAUUAUGGAGCUUUUUUCCUUAAUCCAGCUGAUGAGUUACAGCCUGUUAGUAACAUGAGGGGACAUUUUGGUGAGAAAUGGGACUUAACUCCUUCCAGUGUCCUUAGAACAUUUUAAUUCAUCCCAACUGUCUUUUUUUCCCUACCAUUCAGUGAUUACUGUCAAGGCUGCUUAGAAUCCAAACUUGGAUUUUUGACUCUGGCAAAGCUUUUAGAAAUACUGCAAGAAAAUGAUGUGUACCCAAACGUGAGCAUAGGAGGCUUCUGUUGACGUACUCCAACAGAAGAACUGUGUUUCAAGUUCAAUCCUACCUGUUUUGUGGUCAGCUGUAGUCCUCAUAAAAAGCAAAACAAAAAUUAGGUAUUUUGUCCUAAAACACCUGGUAGGAGUGUGUGAUUUUUUGCAUUCCUGACAAAGGAGAGCACACCCAGGUUUGGAGGUCCUAGGUCAUUAGCCCUCGUCUCCCGUUCCCUUUGUGCACAUCUUCCCUCUCCCCAUUCGGUGUGGUGCAGUGUGAAAAGUCCUUGAUUGUUCGGGUGUGCAAUGUCUGAGUGAACCUGUAUAAGUGGAGGCACUUUAGGGCUGUAAAAUGCAUGAUUUUGUAACCCAGAUUUUGCUGUAUAUUUGUGAUAGCACUUUCUACAAUGUGAACUUUAUUAAAUACAAAACUUCCAGGCUAAACAUCCAAUAUUUUCUUUAAUGCUUUUAUAUUUUUUUAAAAUGUUAAAACCCCUAUAGCCACCUUUUGGGAAUGUUUUAAAUUCUCCAGUUUUUUGUUAUAUAGGGAUCAACCAGCUAAGAAAAGAUUUUAAUCAAGUUGAAUUGAGGGGAUUAAUAUGAAAACUUAUGACCUCUUCCUUUAGGAGGGAGUUAUCUAAAAGAAAUGUCUAUUAAGGUGAUAUAUUUAAAAAUAUUUUUGGGUGUUCCUGGCAGUUUAAAAAAAUUGGUUGGAGAAUUUAGGUUUUUAUUAGUACCAUAGUACCAUUUAUACAAAUUAGAAAAUGUUAUUUAACAGCUGAAUUAUCUAUACAUAUCUUUAUUAAUCACUAUUGUUCCAGCAGUUUUCAAGUCAAAUUAAUAAUCUUAUUAGGGAGAAAAUUCAAUUGUAAAUUGAAUCAGUAUAAACAAAGUUACUAGGUAACUUCAUAUUGCUGAGAGAAAUAUGGAACUUACAUUGUUCAAUUAGAAUAGUGUUCUGC
rnacentral:lncRNA from 1 species